UUAGGGGUUUCUGGUUUUUCAAGAAAUGAAUUUAAUUCAUACGUCUUAUUUAGAAUUUUAUUAUUUGUUUAUUUGUUUUUAUUUGACGUUAAGAUUGGGAGGGAUUAGCUUCUUAUUUUAUUUUUAUAAUUUUUUGUUUAUUUAAUCUUGUGGGUUUUAUAUUGAUUUUCAAUUUGAUUAUGUUAAAAUUUUAUUUGUUUUGUUCUUUAUUUUUGUUUAUUUAAUUAUUUAUUGAAAUGUGUUCUUUAUCUUGUUUUGGUUAGUAAUUAUUGUAGAAUUAGUAAAUUUUUUGUUAGAUUGUUUUAUUUGUGUUAAUUUUCUUUGAGGAACUAGGCAAAUAUCAUGUCCGCCUGUUUAACAAAAACAUCUUUUCUCGUUAGUUUUUGAAGUAUGGCCUGCCCGCUGACUUUGGUGUUGAAGGGCCGCGGUAUUUUGACCGUGCAAAGGUAGCAUAGUCAUUAGUUCUUUAAUUGUGAUCUGGUAUGAAUGGCUUGACGAGACAUGGGCUGUCUUAAUUUUGAAUUGUUUAUUGAAUUUGGUCUUUGAGUUAAAAUUCUUAGAUGUUUUUAUGGGACGAGAAGACCCUAUAGAGUUUAACAUUUAUUACGGUCCUUUUCUGUUUGUGAGGGUUCACUGGGCCGUCUAAUAUGUUUUGUUGGGGUGAUGGGAGGGAUUAAUUUAA
rnacentral:rRNA from 1 species